rnacentral:lncRNA from 1 species
CUCUUUCCUGCGAGUCGCUAACUAUCUUGUCGCCCUUCUUCCUCUCCUUCGACAGUCGAACCUGCAGGAUUAAGGAGGGACGGAUAAAGACAAAACUUGGAUGGAAAAUCAAGACCUGUUUCACAAUUAGCCGUGCCAAGUUACAGACAGAGAAUAGUUUCACCACAGAAGUUGAUAGUGGGAGGAGGGGAAUGUAAAAAAACCAACGAAAUGUACCUGAAACCUAUACAGAGAGCUGUCAUCCUUAACAGUCAGAGUCUUGGAGUCGUUCACCGGGAAGAAGUAACCGUACUGGCAAAGUUGAUUAGCAAUAUGGACCGCCUCUACUGUCAACAUAACAAUAUACUUUCAUAUCUUGGAGUUCCAGGUCUUUAUCGUGUCUCUGCACGGUGCAUCUCUAGUGUCUUGUUACUGUAGCAAUCAGCAACUCCGUGCAUCGUUCUGCCUGCAGUUGUACGAAAGGAAGAUGCGAUUAUUUGCAGCGCCGACAGUGAAAUUAAGACGCAAACGUCGAGCUAGAGGGAUAAAAUGAAACAAACAAAUCGCCGGAAAGCGGAAUCGGUCCUAGUCAUGGCCGAAGUCUGCAAAUUGGCCGAAGAAGGAGGUGGAUGCGAGAUGCUUUCGGAGAUGCGGAACAGCAGCGGCUGCAGCAGCACUGCAGGAUCGCGACGUGCGUGCGUGGAGAAAAGAAGCGGAUGCUCACAGCCAUUCCAGCCAGCUUACACGCAUUGAUGGCGUAGUACGUGUUUCUGUCUUUCGAUAUUGGUGGUGUUCGUACCUGAUU